rnacentral:rRNA from 1 species
GACAGAGGUCCCGAGCGUUAUGCGGAAUCACUGGGCUUAAAGCGUGUGUAGGCGGAGUUCUAAGUACCUUGUGAAAUCCCACGGCUCAACCGUGGAACUGCUUGGUAUACUGGUUCUCUUGAGCCACCUAGGGGCAACCGGAACAAACGGUGGAGCGGUGAAAUGCGUAGAUAUCGUUUGGAACGCCAAUGGUGAAAACAGGUUGCUGGGGGUGUGCUGACGCUGAGACACGAAAGCCAGGGGAGCAAACGGG